rnacentral:rRNA from 1 species
UACGUAGGUGGCAAGCGUUGUCCGGAUUUAUUGGGUUUAAAGGGUGCGUAGGCGGCCUAUUAAGUCAGUGCUGAAAUAUCCCGGCUUAACCGGGAGGGUGGCAUUGAUACUGAUGGGCUAGAGUACAGAUGAGGUAGGCGGAAUUGACGGUGUAGCGGUGAAAUGCUUAGAUAUCGUCAAGAACACCGAUAGUGUAGACAGCUUACUAGACUUCAACUGACGCUGAGGCACGAAAGUGUGGGGAUCAAACAGGAUUAGAAACCCGCGUAGUCC